ensembl:snoRNA SNORD115 Small nucleolar RNA SNORD115
AUGGAAAAUAUGAGAAGUCUUUAUAUUGUCUUGAAUAGAGAUGAUUGCAUAAAAAUAAUACCCAAUAAAAUUAAUCUGAGCCCU